rnacentral:rRNA from 1 species
GAUGAACGCUGGCGGCGUGCUUAACACAUGCAAGUCGAACGGAAAGGCCCAAGCUUGCUUGGGUACUCGAGUGGCGAACGGGUGAGUAACACGUGGGUGAUCUGCCCUGCGCUUCGGGAUAAGCCUGGGAAACUGGGUCUAAUACCGGAUAGGACCACAUUUUGGAUGGUGUGGUGGAAAGUUUUUCGGUGUGGGAUGAGCUCGCGGCCUAUCAGCUUGUUGGUGGGGUAAUGGCCUACCAAGGCGUCGACGGGUAGCCGGCCUGAGAGGGUGUACGGCCACAUUGGGACUGAGAUACGGCCCAGACUCCUACGGGAGGCAGCAGUGGGGAAUAUUGCACAAUGGGCGCAAGCCUGAUGCAGCGACGCCGCGUGGGGGAUGACGGCCUUCGGGUUGUAAACUCCUUUCGCUAGGGACGAAGCGUUUUUGUGACGGUACCUGGAGAAGAAACACCGGCUAACUACGU